rnacentral:rRNA from 1 species
AUACGGGGGGAGCAAGCGUUGUCCGGAAUCAUUGGGCGUAAAGGGCACGUAGGCGGUUUCUUAAGUCGAAUGUGAAAUCUCACGGCUCAACCGUGAAACUGCGUUCGAGACUAAGUGACUUGAGUUUGGGAGAGGUGUACGGAAUUCCUGGUGUAGCGGUGGAAUGCGUAGAUAUCAGGAAGAACACCAAUGGCGAAGGCAGUACACUGGCCUGAAACUGACGCUGAGGUGCGAAAGCGUGGGGAGCAAACAGGAUUAGAAACCCCGGUAGUCC